UNGUAAGGUCCUGUAGCCGCCUCCUGCCAUU
rnacentral:piRNA from 1 species